AGAGUUUGAUCCUGGCUCAGGACGAACGCUGGCGGCGUGCUUAACACAUGCAAGUCGAACGGAAAGGUCUCUUCGGAGAUACUCGAGUGGCGAACGGGUGAGUAACACGUGGGUGAUCUGCCCUGCACUUCGGGAUAAGCUUGGGAAACUGGGUCUAAUACCGGAUAUGAUCACACGCUUCAUGGUGUGUGGUGGAAAGCUUUUGCGGUGUGGGAUGGGCCCGCGGCCUAUCAGCUUGUUGGUGGGGUAAUGGCCUACCAAGGCGACGACGGGUAGCCGGCCUGAGAGGGUGUCCGGCCACACUGGGACUGAGAUACGGCCCAGACUCCUACGGGAGGCAGCAGUGGGGAAUAUUGCACAAUGGGCGCAAGCCUGAUGCAGCGACGCCGCGUGGGGGAUGACGGCCUUCGGGUUGUAAACCUCUUUCACCAUCGGCGAAGCCGGAUGCUUUUGUGUCUGGUGACGGUAGGUGGAGAAGAAGCACCGGCCAACUACGUGCCAGCAGCCGCGGUAAUACGUAGGGUGCGAGCGUUGUCCGGAAUUACUGGGCGUAAAGAGCUCGUAGGUGGUUUGUCGC
rnacentral:rRNA from 1 species